UGCGUAGGGUGCAAGCGUUAAUCGGAAUUACUGGGCGUAAAGCGUGCGCAGGCGGUUUUGUAAGUCUGUCGUGAAAGCCCCGGGCUCAACCUGGGAAUUGCGAUGGAGACUGCAAGGCUUGAAUCUGGCAGAGGGGGGUAGAAUUCCACGUGUAGCAGUGAAAUGCGUAGAGAUGUGGAGGAACACCGAUGGCGAAGGCAGCCCCCUGGGUCAAGAUUGACGCUCAUGCACGAAAGCGUGGGGAGCAAACAGG
rnacentral:rRNA from 1 species